AUAUAAAUGGUCAACGAAAGGAUUAUCAAGUAGACACACUAUUAAAUAAUAUAGGACGGAUGUCCUCGGAUGAUAGCGCCGAGAUUUACUCCCAGGAAGCCAGUGGAUGAUAACUAUUUGGAAGAUCGUCUUCAUACGUUUCUAAAGAGAAAGAUUUUUUGUCUUGUAUCUUAAUUCAAAGCGUGAAGAAUGAAAUAAACUUGUUCAAUUUGUGCGACGUAAUGACUUUUUCAAAUACCAUUUGCAAGCAGCCGUCCUCCCGCUGUUUUUGGUGACAUCAUUAUACAGAGAAUAUUUUCUACACCGACUUGACUUGAACAAUAUCUUUUUGUAAGAAAGUGCAACCGACGCCUCCCUGGAUGAAACUAUCCUUUUCUUCCUUUAGUUCGAUCUCAUUAACUGAUAUAUCGACUAUUUCCUACUAUAGAAACCACGCGAGUGAAAGUAUGUACACCGAGUUUGUUCAGUACUUAAUAUAAAAUGAUGACCGCCGGUUGAUGUUACUGAAAUGCCACAGAGCAGUUGCCCGGAUGGUUAAGUGGAAAAAUGGAAGUCGUAUUUUCAAAUUCUAAUGUCACGUGAUCAUCGAUUUAAGUAUCUUUUACAAAGUUAAAAAAAAAGGAUAUGUAUGGUCAUGACAACUUUUGUACUAAAUUAAUAUAUUGUCAAAACUAUCAUCAUAAUCAUAAAUAUUUUGGUAAACUUUUAAUUUUCAUGGAUGAUAUUGAAAUCCACUAUUUACAUUAUUUAAAUUAUUUUAUAACUUCCUUAACUGAUUAAUUCAUUUAUUAUUUAUUUUAUAAUUUCUUUAACAUUAUUUUAUAACUUCUAACUCUAAGCAUAAAUAAUUGUAAACAAAUUUUAAAAAUCUAACCUACUUUGGUGUUAAUAACGUAAACCAAUAAACAUACAAACAGAG
rnacentral:misc_RNA from 1 species